rnacentral:misc_RNA from 1 species
GUGAAUCAUCAAAUUUUUGAACGCAAAUUGCACUCUCUGCGAUUCGGGAAAGUAUGCCUGUUUCAGGGUCAGUAAAAUAAAAAUCGGUGUUGUUGCUGCUUUUCGUGGUGACGCGACGGGAUUGAGUUGUCUUACCUUCGGUUAAGUGACUUAAAAUUUUCCAUGUUUUUCGAACGUAUUUAAAUUUCUUACGUACGUUUGACAUAUCGGAUACUUUAUUAGAUUCGGUCAUACUCAUGAUUCGGACC